AGAGAGAGAGAGAGAGAGAGAGGACAUCUUACGAAAUGUGAGGAAAGUAAAAGCGUAAGAGAAGGAUAGAAAAUAAAAGGAAAAAAUAAAACAAAAAAAAAAAGAAAAGAAAAAUAAAAAAUAAAAACAAUAAUCGAUCGCAAUAAUCGUGUCCGUUUAUUUUAUUAUACGCGAUAAUUAAAAUUCAUUCGUCAUAUUCGAAUACGCAUAAUCGACGAACUAUGUCAAUAUCCUUUGUACGGGCUUAAAAUUUGAAAAAUAUUAUGUUACUUAGAAUCCAACAAUUGUAAAAUUAAGUUCGCUUUUAAAUAAUAAAAAAAUUCUCAUUAAAUCUUAAUUCCAUUAUGGCUCAUUAAAUAUUAAAUAUUAUUCUCAUUAUAUAUUAAGAAAGAUAAUAAGAUUGGCGAUAGUACGAUAAAAAUUAUCUGUUAAAUUUUAUCUCUGGAGAUAAAUGAUAACAACGUUGAAAUUUUGCACGUUCAUUAUUUCUUUAGUAUCGUUUGAAUUAUCAAAGACAUUCGACACAGAGAAAAUGUUACGGCAAUUUCUUUUCCUUACGUUAUUUUGCAUCUUUUGCAUUGCCAGCAAUGCACAGAAACUUCAAGAGAGUAAGACGGAAAGUAAUAUUGGCCAUAAAACAGUUUUCGAGCACUCGACGAUCGUUACACUUGCCAUGAUUAGCACCUUGGGUGUGGUCCUGAUAAUACUCAUACCUACGAUAUUGUAUUAUAAAUAUUGUGCGAGAAAAAGCAACAAAGAGAUGCAUUCCAAUGGAAUUCAUUGAAUUUAGAAUGAUCCAAGUUACGAACUAGUCCGUUCCUUUCGAAGGGAUAAUUAUACUUUUUCUUAUUCCGUGAACAGAAAAAAAAAGGAAAAAAAAAAAAAGAAAGAAAAAAAGAAAAAAAAGAAACAAGAAAAAGAAAGGAAAGAAAAGAAACGAAACGGAAGAAAAUGAAAGAUCAGCGUUAACGCACAAGUGAUGAGUGGGUGGUGUGUGGUGGUAGGGGAGACUACGACGAUGGAGGGGUUGGUGUUUUAGCGACGACGCGGACUCGUAAGCUCGAUAAAUCGACGAGAAUUAAUCGUAUCGCGUCGACGCGAACAAAUACGAAUUCGAUAAUUAAUCCAUUGAUCGGUUUUAUGACUCCCCGUUGAACGACACUUCUCUACCGUACGAACCGAUCGUUCGUUUUCUCUCUACUCUAUCCCCACCCCUCAUCAGCACCACCCCCUUCCCUCCUGAACCCCCCCCCACCUCCCUGCCCACCCCUCACCUCUUGUUUUAACUUCGGUCAUUUGGCAACGAACCCUGAUAAUGGUUAAGCGAGCGAACCGUACCGAACGAUUUCAUUGAACGAUCCCGAUUAUUUUGGAUGAAAUGCUGUAUAACGUAGCGAAUAACAAUAAGCCGAAACGUGCGACCCUAGUUCAAUCGAAUUCGCAAAACGACAAACUCUCUAUUGUUACGUUUACCUUAAUUUAGAUAUCCUUUUAAUUACUAACUAUUAUUUUGGUAUUGGUCAAAUUUCCAUUGGAAUUAUAUAAAAUAUAAACUUAAAGUAGAAUUUUUAUUUAUUAUAUUAGGUGGACCGAAAAGUAAUGUCGCUUCCUUAAAUCUAAUUCAAACGAAUAAAUUUUUAACAAGUUAUUAUUUUUAAUCACAAUCAAAUAUUGACAUGCCCAGAAACGAUAUUACCUUCCGGUCGACCCAAUAUUAUUCAUUGGUCAAAUUUGUUAUUAAAACGAUAGAAAAUAUAAGAUAAUGUUAAAAUUGUUAUUAUAGUUUGAUCGAUAUGUGAAUGUAAUAAAUGUAUAAUAUUUUAUAUCGAUAUAAAUAAUCUCGACGUUGAUUCAAUGAUAACUUUUAAUACUAUUAUUUUAUUUUAACAGUCAUCAAAUUUCUAUUGGAAUUUUUAUUGAAUAUCUAGGAUAAAGUAAAAUUUCUAUGUUAUAAUAUUUAUUGAUCGAAUUGUUAUUAGAACGAUAGAAAAUAUAGGAUAAUGUUAAAAUUGUUAUUAGAGUUUUGAUCGAUAUGUGAAUGUAAUAAAUGUACAAUAUUUUAUAUCUCGAAAUAAAUAUCUCGACGUUGAUUUAGAAAUAACUUCUAAUACUAUUAUUUUAAUUUAACAGUCAUCUAAUUCCUAUUGGAAUGAUAGAAGAUAUAGGACAAUGUUAAAUUUAUUAUUAGGUUUACCGAUAUUCGAAUAUAAUAAAUAUUUAAUAUUUUAUAUUUAAAUGAAUACGUCGACAUUAAUUUAGGGAUCCUUCUAAUAUUAUUAUUAUCUCAAUUCUGAUCAAAUUCUCAUUGGAAUUAUAGAAAAUAUAGGGCAAUGUUAAAUUUCUUAUUAGGUUAAUCGAUAUUCGAAUGUAAUAAAUCUUUGAUAUUUUAUAUCUAAAUAAAUACGUCGAGCUUAAUUUAGAGAUAUUUCUAAUUACGACUAUUAUUUUAGUAUUGGUCAAAUUUCUAUUGGUAUGAUACGAAUUAUAGGGGUGAAAUACUAUUUGCUUUUUAGAGUAUUUAUUGGUCAAAUUCCCAUUUGCAUGAUACAAAAUAUAGAGCAAUGUUAAUGUUCUUAUUAGGUUGAUCGAUAUCUAAAUGGAAUAAAACGUUCGAUAAUUUAUAUCGAAAUAAAUAUGUCGACGUUAAUUUAAGUACGUUUUCUAAUACAAUUAUUAUUUCGACGAUUAUCAUAAUACCAUUGUAAUGAUAGUAAGCAUAGGGCAAUCUUAAAUUUCUUAUUAAAUUGAUUCAAUAUUUUAUUUCUAAAUAAAUAUAUAUCAACAUUUAUUUAAAGAUCCUUUUGAAAUCGUUCGAAUU